GGCGAAUCUCAGGAUUGUCCGGGAUUCACUUUCCUUAAUCUGAGGGAACAUAGAUUCUGCCAUUUCGUCUGUGAACAGCCAGUGUAUAGGAAGUGUGCGCGUUUGUUAGUUUAUUCGUUUGUCUAAUAAAUUAGUAGUAAAGUGUGCGUAGCCAGGAUUUGUGUGCGAUAGUUAAGAUAAAGCCAACGAUAUAAGCCGUUUGGCUAUUUUCAUUCGCAGCAAUCAGACUCGCACCCAAGCGUGCGAAUUUCCUCCCCUCCACGGACGAAAGCAUUCCCAGCAACCGUCAACCCGCUGGAAGCCGGACGAUCCGCCAACAUAUCGUCCGGGCGAGGCCCAGGGGACCUCCACUUGGACAGGGUCUGUAAAUCGGUCCGCUUCAGCCAUCGUCAACAGCCAUCGCGAUCUGCCACCGCGUGUCGCCAUCGCUGCAUCGCCGCUGCUAGAGCGGGCAAGCCAACCGCCAUCGUCCAAGCAGGCGCUUGGCGUCAUCGUCGCCGCUCGAGACGGGCACAUUGACCUGCCCGUAGGUCAACGACUGGGCCGGUAAGCCAUCAGAAUCCGGUGAGUCCAUCCAGUGGAAGUUUUUCUUUUUGUGGAGUGGGGCGUCCGCUGAGGGCGCCUCGGAGUUGUUGUUUUUUGUCCAGUCAAAAGACUGAAGGAAUGUGCCCAUAAAGCCAUUCACAAAAUUGGUGACACCGUGAAGCGUGCGUGACGAAUUGCCGCCGCUAGAACUUCUUGUCACCAGGAGCGCAGACUAGCCCACCAAUGCGCUGCUAGAAAAGUGACGUCACAUCAAGAACACAAAUAGCACGUGAGCACAAGAGAGUUAGACAGGGAGAGAACAAGCACACAUA